rnacentral:rRNA from 1 species
UACGUAGGGUGCGAGCGUUAAUCGGAAUUACUGGGCGUAAAGUGUGCGCAGGCGGCCGCGCAAGUCGAGUGUGAAGCCCCGAGCUUAACUUGGGAAUUGCGCUCGAAACUACGUGGCUGGAGUGUGGCAGAGGAAGGUGGAAUUCCACGUGUAGCGGUGAAAUGCGUAGAGAUGUGGAGGAACACCGAUGGCGAAGGCAGCCUUCUGGGCCAACACUGACGCUCAUGCACGAAAGCGUGGGGAGCAAACAGG